CGUCAAGAGUCUUUGGCAUCGUUUUGGUGAUCGUUUUCUGUUGCCUUUCGAAAGGUAAAGGAAA
rnacentral:sRNA from 1 species